rnacentral:misc_RNA from 1 species
UUGAGAUGAUCUUGAAAACAAUGCACUGGGAUAUCAGGAUGACAUAUGGAAAGGAAAAGGAGGGUAUCCUCUGUGCGCAGAAAACCUUAUGGAGGCCAUCGGCUGCUUCAUUGCGAUAGUUUCAUGGAAAUGCUUUAUAUGUUUCUGCACCUUCGAUCGCUAUCCAUGGCUGGUAUGAGUUCUAUGAAUUUGGUUCCUUCAUCAUGAUCAUAUGUUCG